UACGGAAGGCGCGAGCGUUGUUCGGAAUCAUUGGGCGUAAAGCGCGUGUAGGCGGCUUGGUAAGUCGAGUGUGAAAGCCCGGGGCUCAACCCCGGAAGGUCGCUCGAAACUGCCUGGCUAGAGUCCCGGAGAGGAAGGCGGAAUUCCUGGUGUAGAGGUGAAAUUCGUAGAGAUCGGGAGGAACACCAGCGGCGAAGGCGGCCUUCUGGACGGUGACUGACGCUGAGACGCGAAAGCGUGGUGAGCAAACAGG
rnacentral:rRNA from 1 species